rnacentral:rRNA from 1 species
UACAGAGGUCCCAAGCGUUGUUCGGAUUCAUUGGGCGUAAAGGGUGCGUAGGCGGCGCGGUAAGUCGGGUGUGAAAUCUCGGAGCUUAACUCCGAAACUGCAUUCGAUACUGCCGUGCUUGAGGACUGGAGAGGAGACUGGAAUUUACGGUGUAGCGGUGAAAUGCGUAGAUAUCGUAAGGAAGACCAGUGGCGAAGGCAGGUCUCUGGGCAUUAACUGACGCUGAGGAGCGAAAGCAUGGGGGAGCGAACAGG